rnacentral:rRNA from 1 species
CCCUUAGAUGUUCUGGGCUGCACACGUGCUACACUGGCAGGUUCAGCGAGCUUCAUGCCCUGAUCUGAAAGGAAUGGGAAAUCUUUUCAAAACCUGCCGUGCUUGGGAUAGAUGUUUGCAAUUAUUCAUCUUCAACGAGGAUUGCCUUGUAAGCGCACGUCAUCAGCUUGCAUUGAUUACGUCCCUGCCCUUUGUACACACCGCCCGUCGCUCCUACCGAUUGAAUGAUCCGAUGAAUAUCAUGGAUUGAGGAUGCAAGCAGGUUCGCCUGUCUUCAUCUUCGAGAAGUGAAGUAAAUCUUAUCAUUUAGAGGAAGGAGAAGUCGUAACA